ACACGUGUCUUCCUCCUCCUCCUCCUCCUCCUCCUCGUCGUUUGGGUUCGUGGCGCCGGGCCUCCGCUGCCGUCCUGUUUGAAAGACGACUGCUGCUCCCUACAGUUUGAAAGCCGCCUCUUGCUGCGGCUCAUCCUCACGCUGACUGCUGUCUGCGGAGAAAACCGAGCUGCAAAGCUGCAGCUGUGGCUUCAUGAAGGGAAAAUAUUUGAAGCAGAGGAGAAUGAAUCGUCUUUCAACUGCUUCCAGGUCUUAAAUAAUUUCUGGUUUUGUUGGAGGGUUUGGUGUCCGACGAUGGGCUGAAUUAAAAAUCAAAUGCUUCUCUUGCUUAACGAGGGGCUGAUCUGUGAAUACUCUGAAUGUUUGGCUCAAACGUCGCCUCAGAAAGCUCAUUUUGGGCUAAAGUGGAAAUAGAUGUGGUGCUUCUUCCAGCGUUUAAGGUGUGAUCUGAUGCGCAGCAGCAUAUUGGCUCCUGAUGUUUCGGAGGUGUGAUGGAGUCUGGAUCUUCUCCCGGCGGAGGCAGCACCAACACGGGGCUUUGGCUCGGAAAUCCCACAAGAGAUCCCCGUGGGGUCCGGCUGUUGGACCUUCCCACCCGGACUCGGUUCCAGCCAAUCAGGUGCUGAUGUGUCCAAACAGGAGACGGACUGUGUGGACAGAUGGCGGGCUGACCUGGAAAACCUGCCCCUGUUUCAGGGUUCAGCGGCCGGCAGAUGACGGGUAUUACUUCCUUACCUGGAGAGACGAGUGGGUUACCAAAUAACACUUUGUCUCCAACUUGUUGUGCUUUCUGGUCACAUUUUUAUUACUUUUUUCAAAAUAAUUAUGCGCACAGUUUCAAAAAUGUACCCUACUUUGGUCAGGGUGUCCUUUAAAAAACCUUAAAUUCUUGUAUCUAAGAUUAAUGCCUUAAAAUAAUUUUAAAAUUUAACUUAAAUUUUGUCUUUUAAUCUCGUAUUCCAUGAAGGUUUUUGGGUUUUUUUGCGAAGGUGUAAGUCACACACACAGGCGGUUGUGGCUACUACUAACUAGAUGCUAAUAUAGCCUUGUCUAGCUAACUAGUUAGCAAGAUUUUGUCUAGCUAACUAGUUAGCUCUUUGCGUAAGUGUAAAGUUUGCUUCAUAACGUCUGUCCUGGUUUCUUUGUGACUUUUCUGUCUCUCAAACGUUUGAGUUAUUCAAACAACCUUGCAUUCUAACUUGAGGCAGUUGUGGCUACCGCUAAUUAGCUGCUAAUGUGCUCUUGCUACCUUUGUGCAUCUGUCAUGGAUAAGCAGAAAUUCGCCUCCAUAACUUACUCAUUUCUGUUGUGGACUUUAAAGUUUGACAAGUUAGUCUCACAAGGAGUACCAUUUCUUUCAUAAUAUACUUUCCUUCAUAAGAGUCUUAAAAAGUGUUUGAGUUGGUAAAAUCUGCAGGAACCCUGGAUUUAAAGAGCAGCAUCAGCUCAUUACUUCACCUUUCGCCUGUGACUUACAUUUAUCUGCGUCUCCAACCAGCCAUGUAACCUGAGUGUCAGGGCAGAUCCGUCUGGCAGAAAGUGCUUUUUGAUGAAGUCGUUCAUAAAUUUUAAUACAACAUGUCAGCUAACAUGAUGUAUAGAGUGAGAGCUCAUUCAUAUUUCAGAUGGUUUGCUGUUGAGAAAGCAGCCUUACUCGGCUCUAAAGCUGUUUGAUUGUAGCUCUAGUUCGACUCUGAUGAUUGUUUUUACUGAUUUUUGAUAAACUAGGUUUUGUCACCAAUAAUGAUACAUAAAACAAGAAUCAGUAGGUUUGUACUCAAUCGUGCAGUUUUGUAAAUAUUUACGUUUCCAAUCAAAUAAGUAAGGCUAAAUUGGCUUAGCUAUAUAGCUUUGCAAUAGUUAACUUAAAAAAUAACUUUUCUUUUUAUUUAAAAACUAAGUUUAAGAAACAUUUUAUGACAGAGUAUUGGGGCCAGACUUUGAUUCUUCUGUUAAAUUACAAGAAUAAAGUCGUAAUAGAAGAAUAAGGACUUCAUUCUUGUAAAAUUAUGAGAAAAAAUGUGUUUUAAUGAGAGCAAAGCUCCGAUAGUUAAGACCUGAUGUGACCAGCUCGUCUGAUCCCUGAUUAGUAGUUUUUAUUACCAUUUCAAAUUCCUACUAAUGAUAAUAAUUUAAUGCUAAUGUAUUAAAAAUUGUUUUAUUACAUAUGACAUAUUAAUUUAUGACAUACGAAAUAUGACAUACAAGAUGCUCAACAUUCUUAAAGCUUUAAUUUAAUUGAGCUAGGUAUCAUUUAUUAGCUAACACUAGCUAAAAACAGUCUGACUAACAUUUCUAUUGCGUAUGGCACAUAAUUAUAAAAUAGUAUCAUGGGUGCAAAUGUAAACUUCAGUAUUUUUUCAUGUAUUUAAAAUAAGACGAUAUUAGCUUACUAUGCUAGCUUUAUGGCUAGGUAGCUUUCUUUUAGCUAACCUUUGCCUCCAAAUUCCAGCUGAACUUGUUUAAUGUAUAAAGCUUCAUUGGCAGUGAUGGAUUUAUAGUUUUUCUGGUGCUUAUCUUGUGAAAUGAAUUAAAACAAAGAAAAUGUUAAACAUGCUGAUACAUUUCAGUAAUUCUGUUCCACAGAAUGGUGACAAAAGUGAUAUUUUCUGUUGCAUGAUUGGAUUAUUAUCCCAUACUAACUUGUGAAAAUACAUUUUAGAGGAUUACAGUUGGGAGAAUAUACAGACUCACCUUUAAAUUUACUUCUUUUAUGGCUAAAAGUUAAAUAUCUUUCAGUCCUACUGAUGUAAAAAGCCUCCAGACUGAGUGUUUAAACCAGAGGCAUGCUGAAAUCGUCCGCAUGUGAUGCUGCUCUGAACAGCUGGAAAUCAUAUCGAAUUAUUCUGCACACUUUUCUCUGCUGAAGGUGGCUGAUAUUUGAUUUUUCCACCCUAAGCCUCCCGCCUUGUAUGAAAAUGAGACACAUUACCGGUCCAUUAAUUGAUCCGAGCCCUGCUUUGAAAUGUGGACGUUCCUGAGAAUCAGAAAUUAGGCCGGGCUCCAGGGCCAAUUAGGUGAGCCUUCGCCACAUCUCCACCGGCUCCUCCGACGAAUUUCAAUCAAUCCAGACCGGCCGCAGGUGAAAUGCCAGACGAAGUCGCCACUUGCUGCUAUGAAUGCUAAAGGCGGGCUUGCAUGCUAAUGCUAUUCAUGUCCACAUCAUGCAAUGCAUGCAGCACAUGGGGGCAGAGGCUAAUAGUGUCUCGUUGGCUGGUUUUACCUUUCAUGAUCUUCUGGCUGCGGCUAAACAUCAUCGACUAAUCAGAAGCGGAGGCUUUAAUCAACACUAGCUUCUGUUUUUACCUCCACCAAUAAAAGAAACUGGAAAUCCAGUAACAUCUAAUAAAUAAAGAAAAAGAAAGUAAUUAUUCCUCUGAGAAUAAUUGACUGAAAAGAUGUAUAGUUGCAGCUGAAAAAAUCUAAAUGUUUGAAUAUAUUUAAACUUU